rnacentral:rRNA from 1 species
GAAAGCAUCUAAGCGGGAAGCGAGCCUUGAGAUGAGUUUUCCCUGGCGCUAUAAGCGUCCUAAAGGGUUGUCGUAGACUACGACGUUGAUAGGCAGGGUGUGUAAGUGCUGCGAGGCAUUGAGCUAACCUGUACUAAUUGCCCGUGAGGCUUAACCAUACAACACCCAAGGGGUUU